rnacentral:tRNA from 1 species
UUAGCUGAAACCAAAAAGGAGGUAUAUUAUUGUUAAUAAUAAAAUUGAAUGGGCAAAUUCCAGCUAAG